rnacentral:lncRNA from 1 species
ACAUAUGAUUUUUUGGAUAUGUUGGCUGAAUCUAUCCAAACAUAGGAUCUACAAACUGCAUCUAGCAUCUUUAGUAUUUUUGAAGGAAUAAGAAAAAGCUGAGCCCAGUAUGCUUGUAUACCAAAAAUGACUGACUGCACCAGCUGAACUCUCCCUGCAUAGGAUAAUUUUCUAGCAGUCCAGGAUGUGAUCCUGGCAGUAACCCUAUCCACCAAUGGUUGCCAUUGUAGUAAUGACAUUUUCUUGGCAGUUAGAGGAACUCCCAAAUACUUGAAAGGUAACUCUCCAAAUGACUGACUGCACCAGCUGAACUCUCCCUGCAUAGGAUAAUUUUCUAGUGGUCCAGGAUGUGAUCCUGCCAGUAACCCUAUCCACAAUGGGUUGCCAUUGUAGUAAUGACAUUUUCUUGGUAGUUAGAGGAACUCCCAAAUACUUGAAAGGUAACUCUCCAUAUACAUAACCAAGAUGAUUG